rnacentral:rRNA from 1 species
AACGAACGCUGGCGGCAGGCCUAACACAUGCAAGUCGAGCGAGGACUUCGGUUCUAGCGGCGGACGGGUGAGUAACGCGUGGGAAUGUGCCCUUCUCUACGGAAUAGCCCUGGGAAACUGGGAGUAAUACCGUAUACGCCCUUAUGGGGAAAGAUUUAUCGGAGAAGGAUCAGCCCGCGUUGGAUUAGGUAGUUGGUGGGGUAAUGGCCUACCAAGACGACGAUCCAUAGCUGGUUUGAGAGGAUGAUAAGCCACACUGGGACUGAGACACGGCCCAGACUCCUACGGGAGGCAGCAGUGGGGAAUCUUAGACAAUGGGGGCAACCCUGAUAUAGCCAUGCCGCGUGAGUGAUGAAGGCCUUAGGGUUGUAAAGCUCUUUCAGCUGGGAAGAUAAUGACGGUACCAGCAGAAGAAGCCCCGGCUAACUCCGUG